AUGUGGGCCAUAUGGUGGGCGCGACGCCGUGCUAUCCAUGACGAGCAGUACCAAAGCCCCCUGAGCAGUUCGGUCUUCAUCAAAAAAAUUCUGGUGGAUCUUGAUUGUAAUGUUGUGCACAAGUCACGCCUGAGGAGGGACUUGCAUGUGAAGCCCAAGGACCUGGAUGUAACAGCGGAAAAUUCAAGGACUAGAGCGACACCAUCAGUUUGGCUUCCCCCAACCAACGAAGAAGCGAAGCUACACGCAGAUGGAGGCGUGUCCAGAUCUGGUAGGAGGGGCGCAGCAGCUGUGGUCUGCCGUGACAGAGCAUGA
rnacentral:rRNA from 1 species